rnacentral:rRNA from 1 species
CUGCUGCCUCCCGUAGGAGUUUGGGCCGUGUCUCAGUCCCAAUGUGGCCGGCCACCCUCUCAGGUCGGCUACUGAUCGUCGCCUCGGUGGGCCAUUACCUCACCAACCAGCUAAUCAGACGCGGGUCCAUCUCAUACCACCGGAGUUUUUCACACUUGACCAUGCGGUCCUGUGCGCUUAUGCGGUAUUAGCAGUCAUUUCUAACUGUUAUCCCCCUGUAUGAGGCAGGUUACCCACGCGUUACUCACCCGUCCG